rnacentral:rRNA from 1 species
ACGUAGGGACCAAGCGUUGUUCGGAUUUACUGGGCGUAAAGGGUGCGUAGGCGGCGUGUUAAGUCAGCUGUGAAAUCUCCGAGCUUAACUCGGAACGGUCAGCUGAUACUGAUGUGCUAGAGUGCAGAAGGGGCAAUCGGAAUUCUUGGUGUAGCGGUGAAAUGCGUAGAUAUCUGGAGGAACACCAAUGGCGAAGGCAACUUCCUGGGGCAAUACUGACACUGAUGUGCGAAAGCGUGGGGAGCAAACAGGA